rnacentral:tRNA from 1 species
CCAAAAAUGUUGGCCAACCCCUCCCUUUGUUA